rnacentral:sRNA from 1 species
AAGUGAAAUAUUGAGCAGCAUAGCUGCUCAAUGUGAAAUACGCCUUCGGCGUGUGAAAUAUCUGCUUCGCAGAUAUGAAAUAUAGG